ACAGACACGAAUGUGGUGUACUCA
rnacentral:siRNA from 1 species